CCUCUGGCCGGCCGGAAGCAGCGCGGUCGCUCUGUGCCCACGUGUGUGUCCGCGUUGGAUCGAGUGCGGUUCUCCAUCCCCGCGUGGUACCGGGGGGCUCUUCCCCUCGUGGGCCGCCAUGGAGCAGCCGCUCAGGUCCCUCGCCCUCAGAGCCCUGAGGCUGCCGCCCUCCGCCCGCAGCUGCUGCUUUGGGGUGGGCCCCACGCGGGACCAACAGCCCACACGGUUAUACACAGCACGGGAGGGCUCCAAGGGCAGGAGCAGGCCGCAGGGAAGGAGGGUUCUGCCCAUUGAAAGGACGAGGGGCAGCGAGAUCCUGUUCGGCGUGGCGCCGUGCUCCAUGGCGCUGUCCCAGGCCAGGAGGGAUCUGUUCAGGCUGUUCCUUAAGCAGAGCGUUGGGCCGCAGCGCCUCGUCAGCAGCGAGUUGGUGCUGCAGGCCGCGGCACGAGGGGUUCCCGUGCUACACGUUGGGAGGAGGGAGCUGGACGAGCUGUGCGGGGGACGCGUCCACCAGGGGGUGUGUUUGGAGGCCACCCCGCUGCGCUACAAGAGGAUGGAGGAGGACGAAGGGAGCGAUGGAGAGAGCACGAACCGACAGCUGCUAUGGCUGGUGCUGGAGCAGAUCCAGGACCCCAUGAACCUGGGGGCACUGCUGCGCUCUGCCUACUUCUUAGGGGUGGACAGAGUGGUGACGAGCCGGAGGAACAGCUGCCCCUUGACUCCAACAGUGAGCAAAGCGAGUUCUGGAGCGAUGGAAGUCUUUGAUGUCUACAGCACAGACGAUCUCCGGAGCUUUUUGAAGGCUAAAGCUGCAGAAGGUUGGGAAGUUGUGGGAACAGUGAGCCAGUCUGAAACUGUGGAAAAUGUUCCUGUCAUCAGCUGCUUGGAAUUUCGGUGGAAUAAACCCAUUAUUUUAGUAAUAGGUAGUGAAGGUGAUGGCCUUUCCCUGGAGACGCAGCUCCUGUGCCACCAGAUGCUGCUCAUCCCCUCUGGCAGGACACUGCACCCGGGCAUCGAGUCGCUGAAUGUCUCCGUAGCCACUGGCAUUCUCCUGCACUCCAUAUGCAGUCAAAAGCUGAGGAAGGGUGAUUGAUUUUUAUCCUGGCACGUGGUGGAAGUUGCUCAGCCCAGAUCUUUGAUGGCAGGAAGCUGCUCAGUGUUCCAUGGCUGUGUUCAGUAUGGAUAUGGAAGUGCUCCUUCCAGGUUCGGCACCAUCUCAACAAGUUUCAGGUACUUAAACUUGAGAAGACCCUUCAUUAAGUUUGCUUGUGUUUGGGAAAGCCACGUGCCCUCUGACCGCGCUCAGCCACAGCAGCUCAUCUAUGACAGACAGCCAGGAAAUGCUCUUGACCAUCUGCUGCUGCUCUAAGAAACGAGUGUUUACUACCAGAAAUGUCGGAGGUAUCUGGGAUAGAUCACAGCAGAGUGUAAGGGCAAAGUGCAGCCACUUAUGCAAAACUGUGCCACUGUCGCCUGGAACCUGGAGUUGGAAGCUUCUGGAAACAUUCCCAGUCCUUGGCUUAUUCAUCAAGAUUGUUACAAUUCUGCUGCCACGAAGAGGGAAGUAUCUUGUUCUCCUGUUAUUUAUUAGCAUUUGCUGUAGUGUGAGGGACCGUGAUGGGGAGGGGAGCCCUGCUGUGAGGGGCUGCGAAAUGACAGCAGCAUCACAGGGUGUGAGCAAUUCAAACAGCCACGUCAGGCAGAGAAUUUGGGAGACAGAUGUAAGACAAGCAAAGGAAAGAUGUGGAAGAUUCUUGAAGUACCUCAAAAGAAACGCAAAUGAAACGUAUUAAGGACGUGUCUGUGUGCAAUCAAGGCCUGUUGGAGCUUCACAUUGGAGAUGUAGGAACUUCUUUAUCUCAUAGAAAGAGAUAACAAGAGGGCUUUCUGAAAAUGGGAGAAAACCACUGCAGGCCUGUUUCUGCCUAAAAGCCCAGUGGGACAGAUCAUGGAGUCUGAGGAGCAGGGAGUUGUGUGCUAUUCUGUUAAUAAAAAGCAGAAGGAAGUAGCAGAACAGAAUCAGUGGAGCAAAUCCAAAAGCAAAUGCCCUAUCAAACAGGCAAAAAAAAAAAAAAACACCUCACCAAACAAAAGCUGAUGAAUUUCCAAGGUAGAAUUUGUUGGCAGACAGGCUGGGCUGAUGUUUCCUAAAGCAACCACCUUAAUCCCUCCAUUCUGCAAAGGGAAUGCCAAACAAAAGAAAUCUGCUCAACAUUUUCUAUUAGCCUGAAAUUUUGCCGUAGAGAAAAUGAUAACAAGGAAGGAAUUUUCUUGGGAAAAAGAAGAGAAAAGGGAGCUGCGGAAUUAUUUUAGUCCAGAUGUCUGCAGUGCUAAAAACGAGUUCUGGGGCAGGACAAUAAACUCAUACACAAAUGUUAAUUCUGCUUGCAGUCAUCCAAGCAGUUCAGUCACCAAAGCCCAUUCAUGGUCUGUGUGCUUCCACACAGAGGGAUGCUCCAAAAAACUUUGACAAUCCCAAUCUAAACACGUUUGUGUCCAACUUUCUAAAGGUCCUUCUGUGUGGCUGCAAAGAAUAAGUAAUUUCUAUCUGCAACACGUUAUGAAGUCCUCAGGAAGUAGGCACCAGGGCAGCGUAAAAUGGUUAUUUUAGCAGUAUCUUCUCUUACAAUUGCUUGUUCUCCAUCUCCACAGAGGACAGCUGCAGUGAUUUAAGCCCACCAGGCUGCGGAGUUGGUUCUGUUGUGAAGUGCCUGAGCUGCUGUGCAGGACUUGGCCAUAAACUGCACAGCCCAAGGAAGAUGUUGCUUGUUUUCUAGGACAGGAUGAAAUCACCCCAUGUGUUUCGAAGUUUCUUAAUGUUAAAAAGGAAGAGGAAAAAAGCUGUUUGCAGAGGUGCAUCCACUCUCUUCCACUUUUGCUAUGCUCCGUGAUCAAAUGGGUCCGGUCUUUCUCAUGUUUCUGCUCCUCAUUUGCCUCCUGCAUGUAAGAUUAUACCAACAUCUGCUCCGAACCUCUGUGGGCAUCUACACAAAGUAUUCCCAUGAGUAUAUUUCAGUUCUAGUCCUGCAAGGUCACCCUUCCAUCCUUUGUGAGGCACCUGCUUUUCCAACCCACCCUGCUUUCUCCAGGCAACGUUCUCCCGACGCCGGACUCCCUCAGUGGGUUGAUGUUCUGUUUAAUUAGUUUGGCCUCUCGCACCCGGCUGGGGGAAGUUUGAUUAGAGACUCAGACAACACUUCUGUUCCUUCAGCCUCCGGUCCUCCCAAAACACACACCCGAUGAAAGGAGAAAAAAUGCCCUUUCCUGCAAUUCCAGGCAGCCCGUUCUGCUUGGACCAUCCACGCUGGUACAGCACACAAGGCUGGUGAGAAGUCAGAGCUUAGUAAAUGUUGUGGUAGGGCACAGGGAAAGGGUUUACUUAUGUUGUGCUUGGGAAGCGCUGCACUAUUUUUAUGCACUAGAACAGGUUGCCCAAGGAGGCUGUGGGUGCCCCAUCCCUGCAGGCAUUCAAGGCCAGGCUGGAUGUGGCUCUGGGCAGCCUGGCCUGCUGGUUGGUGACCCUGCACAUAGCAGGGGUUUGGAACUCGAUGAUCAUUGUGAUCCUUUUCAACCCAGGCCAUUCUAUGAUUUUUUAUCAUAAGAGCACUUGGUUUCCUCCAGCACUUACCCUGUUAAUAAAAGAAUCUGUAUCAUUUAGUCUGGUUAAGCAGCAACAGUAUUUGCUGCUUAAAGGCUUGCCCAGCUACCUAAACUCCAGACACCUCAUUUCAGAAGGGAAAUAUUCCUGCACUGUAAGAAGAGAGUGCUGUUGUACUAUUUGAGCACUAAAAUCAGUCGAACAAGACUGUUGUAUCUCUUAAGAAAAUUCAUAUGUGGAAAUUUAUCACAAGGAAAAAAUACACUUAAGCCCCACUUAAAAUAAUAAAAUACAUCUUUUAGAGAAAGUUUCAGACUUUUUUCUGGGUAAGAGGAGUAAUGGUUUCUAUAAUUUAAUAGGUGCUAAAUUUGGUGAGGAGUGCCAGCAAAUCCAUUUCACAUGGUGAUAUUUUAUCUCCCCUGAAACGGUCAUUUUCACAAAUGCCUUUUUAUUGGUUCCCUUGUCCCAUGAAGCACCCAGGCUGGAGCUGGGGUGUGUACAGCAGUGGGAAGGAGUAAGGAAACCAGUCAAUAACAGGGACACAAAACAGGGGCAGGAACUGCACGAGGGUUAAAUGUGCUCCCUGUAUAUAGACAACAUUUCUACUUUGACCCGCAGGGCUCUGGCUUUUUAGCUCUUGCUCUUGUAGGAGUUAAGGUGGAUGCAACUAUUAAAAACCAGAGAUGACCCACAUGGAACCGUGGGCGAGAAUAGCACUGAAAAGACUGAAAAUAAAACAACCAACAGCCCUCCCCUUCUGCAGUUUGUGGCCACUGUCACUGCAAAUAAACUGAGGUUCAGGAAAGGGAAUAGAGAAUUUUUUGUGGUUAGGACACAGAAGUGGAAAGCUCAAUGAGUUUUCAAAUCAGAAUAAAAUGGAAAGAAGGGGAAAUAUGUAAGGGUUGGUUUAAGGAGGCAGUGCAUGAAUUCAAGUGUGAUAUGUCAGCCAUGUUCACAACCAGCACAAGGUCUUUGCUGCCCACCCUUACAUGUCAUAUACUUGUAAUUGCCACAUACUUGUAAUUCUAUUGUACUUUUUUUUUCCCCCAGUUCUUCCACCCUCUGAAUUCUCCCAUUGUAAGUGGGGAGUUUCCAUGCCUGGGAGCUCCUGCAGCCCUGCCUGCGUGGAGGAACAAGGAUGUACUAAUAUUGGGUCCUGAAGCUGCAAAUGCCGAACGAACCAAGGAGUAAAAGAAUUGACAAGACAAGCAGUGGUGGGAAAUGGAGGGAAGACUGUGAAAAAGGUUAUAAUAAAUAAUAAGAAAUGUUGCAUGGGCCAAAGGAAUAAUAGAUCAGCGAUGGAAAGACUCUAAAAGCUGCUGAGGGUUAUUUAUUGAUGGACAUUGUUUUAAGAAAAGAAAAAAAAUCAGUGACAGUUUUCCUUCGUGUUCAUAAAGGCAGAGCAGGUGCCAGAAUGAAAGAUAAAUUCCCUUUUGCAUAAAGAAGAAAUAUUGAAGGAAACUGAGCAGAGGUGAUGGAGAAAUUAGAGCGUUGAAAGACCCUGAAAGCAUGCGGUCCAUGUCAGCAUGUCAGAAAACCUCUCUCAGGAUUUUCAGCUGAGUCAGCAGAAAGCAGGAAAAACUGUUGCGGGAAAUGAGAACCUCUUUGAAGACCAGUAAUGGAGAGGUUCCUGCAAGUGUCAUGUCCGAAGGUCUGAGGAAAGCUUUCCAGGAAUUAAAAUUGGUGGUGUAGAAGGUA